GGCACGGUGGCUUAGAGUUUACCACAUUUGCCUUGCACCUACAGGAUUUCGGGUUCGAUUCCCGCCUCUGCCC